rnacentral:tRNA from 1 species
GGGUGAUUAGCUCAGGUGGUUAGAGCGCUACCUUGACAUGGUAGAGGUCGUAAGUUCGAGUCUUAUAUCACCCA